rnacentral:rRNA from 1 species
UGACUGUACUAAGGUAGCAUAAUCAUUAGCUUUUUAAUUGGUGGCUGGAAUGAAGGGUUAUAACUGGGAAGGAUGUUUUGCUUAUAAAUUUUGAAUUUAAGUUAGGAAUAAAAAAGUUCCUAUUAAUCUUUGGGACGAUAAGACCCUAGAAGUUUUAGAAUAAAUUGUUCUUUAGUUGGGGUGACUAAUGAAGAUAAAAAUCUUUAUUUUACAUAAAUUUAAAAUAUUAAUUACUCUAGGGAUAACAGCAUUAUUUAGUCUUGAGU